AGAGUUUGAUCAUGGCUCAGAUUGAACGCUGGCGGCAGGCCUAACACAUGCAAGUCGAACGGUAACAGGAAGCAGCUUGCUGCUUUGCUGACGAGUGGCGGACGGGUGAGUAAUGUCUGGGAAACUGCCUGAUGGAGGGGGAUAACUACUGGAAACGGUAGCUAAUACCGCAUAACGUCGCAAGACCAAAGAGGGGGACCUUCGGGCCUCUUGCCAUCGGAUGUGCCCAGAUGGGAUUAGCUAGUAGGUGGGGUAAAGGCUCACCUAGGCGACGAUCCCUAGCUGGUCUGAGAGGAUGACCAGCCACACUGGAACUGAGACACGGUCCAGACUCCUACGGGAGGCAGCAGUGGGGAAUAUUGCACAAUGGGCGCAAGCCUGAUGCAGCCAUGCCGCGUGUAUGAAGAAGGCCUUCGGGUUGUAAAGUACUUUCAGCGGGGAGGAAGGGAGUAAAGUUAAUACCUUUGCUCAUUGACGUUACCCGCAGAAGAAGCACCGGCUAACUCCGUGCCAGCAGCCGCGGUAAUACGGAGGGUGCAAGCGUUAAUCGGAAUUACUGGGCGUAAAGCGCACGCAGGCGGUUUGUUAAGUCAGAUGUGAAAUCCCCGGGCUCAACCUGGAACUGCAUCUGAUACUGGCAAGCUUGAGUCUCGUAGAGGGGGGUAGAAUUCCAGGUGUAGCGGUGAAAUGCGUAGAGAUCUGGAGGAAUACCGGUGGCGAAGGCGGCCCCCUGGACGAAGACUGACGCUCAGGUGCGAAAGCGUGGGGAGCAAACAGGAUUAGAUACCCUGGUAGUCCACGCCGUAAACGAUGUCGACUUGGAGGUUGUGCCCUUGAGGCGUGGCUUCCGGAGCUAACGCGUUAAGUCGACCGCCUGGGGAGUACGGCCGCAAGGUUAAAACUCAAAUGAAUUGACGGGGGCCCGCACAAGCGGUGGAGCAUGUGGUUUAAUUCGAUGCAACGCGAAGAACCUUACCUGGUCUUGACAUCCACGGAAGUUUUCAGAGAUGAGAAUGUGCCUUCGGGAACCGUGAGACAGGUGCUGCAUGGCUGUCGUCAGCUCGUGUUGUGAAAUGUUGGGUUAAGUCCCGCAACGAGCGCAACCCUUAUCCUUUGUUGCCAGCGGUCCGGCCGGGAACUCAAAGGAGACUGCCAGUGAUAAACUGGAGGAAGGUGGGGAUGACGUCAAGUCAUCAUGGCCCUUACGACCAGGGCUACACACGUGCUACAAUGGCGCAUACAAAGAGAAGCGACCUCGCGAGAGCAAGCGGACCUCAUAAAGUGCGUCGUAGUCCGGAUUGGAGUCUGCAACUCGACUCCAUGAAGUCGGAAUCGCUAGUAAUCGUGGAUCAGAAUGCCACGGUGAAUACGUUCCCGGGCCUUGUACACACCGCCCGUCACACCAUGGGAGUGGGUUGCAAAAGAAGUAGGUAGCUUAACCUUCGGGAGGGCGCUUACCACUUUGUGAUUCAUGACUGGGGUGAAGUCGUAACAAGGUAACCGUAGGGGAACCUGCGGUUGGAUCACCU
rnacentral:rRNA from 1 species